ACCGUAGAUGAAAAGUCGAUCUGGGUAGCAAUACCCAUCUUGUACAGGUGCGGCAUGGCCGUCGUCAGCUCGUCCACCCGAGGUGUUUGGUUAAGUCCUGCAACGAGAGCAACCCCUGCACUUAGUUGCCCUCAGGUAAUGCUGGGCACUCUAAGUGGACUCCCUACGCAAGUAGUGAGGAAGGCGGGGAUGACGUCAAGUCCUCAUGGCCCUUACACCCAGGGCCACACACGUGCUCCAAUGGUUGGUACAAAGGGAUGCUAAGCCGCAAGGUGCCCCCAAUCCCAAAAAACCACCCUCAGUUCGGAUUGGGGUCUGCAACUUGUCUAAAAGAAGCUGGAAUUGCUAGUAAUCGCGGAUCAGCACGCCGCGGUGAAUACGUUCCCGGGCCUUGUACACACCGGGGGUCAAGCCAUGGAAACUGGGGGUACCCGAACCUUAUUUUUUGUCCUCAAGGAGACAAGCUGUAAGUAUUCCCACCCUCAGAUAUAACAAAAACAACGAUGAACAACUGUCG
rnacentral:rRNA from 1 species